GAUCAUGGCUCAGGAUGAACGCUGGCGGCGUGCUUAACACAUGCAAGUCGAACGGGAAAUACUUUAUUGAAACUUCGGCGGAUUUAAUUUAUUUCUAGUGGCGGACGGGUGAGUAACGCGUGGGUAACCUGCCUUAUACUGGGGGAUAACAGCAAGAAAUGGCUGCUAAUACCGCAUAAGCGCACAGAACCGCAUGGUUCGGUGUGAAAAACUCCGGUGGUAUAAGAUGGACCCGCGUUGGAUUAGCUAGUUGG
rnacentral:rRNA from 1 species